GGGCAGGAGGGUGCGUGGCCGGGCCGGCAGCGCCGGCGGGGGGGAGCUGUGCCGCUGGGGCCCUGACAGGGUCUGUGUUCCCAGGGAUCGCCGGGAGGUACCUGCGGGGACAGUGGGUAGAGCUGCAGAUCGUCAUUGACGUUAUUGAAGGCAUGACUCCUGACAGCACUGCUGUCAAAAGCCUGGCACUUCAAACCCAGGAAAUCCUAAGAGUUGUCCAAAGACCUCAGUCUUCUCCAGGUUCCAGCGGUUUGAAGAUCAGCUCCAGAAUGUGCAGAAUAGGGAGGUUCCUCUGUGGGGCAGCUGCCGGAGGUCAGCGGAGAACUGAUCCUGGGAACCCUGUCUGAUGGGACCGCCUGAGCCUGCGGGACAGACCCCUCUGUGCAACCAGUUCCUGUUCCUCCACCUUGAGACUAUGAAAUCCCUCUUAGCAUACA